rnacentral:tRNA from 1 species
GGUGUCUUGGCCGAAUGGUUAAGGCGUUGGACUGCUAAUCCAAUGGGGAUUUAUCCCUAUGUAGGUUCGAAUCCUACAGACACCG